CAGUAGCCACGGUAAUACGGAGGGUGCAAGCGUUAAUCGGAUUUACUGGGCGUAAAGCGUGCGUAGGCGGCUUCUUAAGUCGGAUGUGAAAUCCCUGAGCUUAACUUAGGAAUUGCAUUCGAUACUGGGAAGCUAGAGUAUGGGAGAGGAUGGUAGAAUUCCAGGUGUAGCGGUGAAAUGCGUAGAGAUCUGGAGGAAUACCGAUGGCGAAGGCAGCCAUCUGGCCUAAUACUGACGCUGAGGUACGAAAGCAUGGGGAGCAAACAGGAUUAGAUACCCCAGUAGUCCCUGUCUCUUACAC
rnacentral:rRNA from 1 species